GCAAGUCGAGGGAGAAAUUUGACUUCGGUUAAAUGGAAACCGGCGAACGGGUGAGUAACGCGUACACAACCUACCCUUAACUGGGGGAUAGCCUUGGGAAACUGAGAUUAAUACCCCAUAAUAUUGAUUGAUUGCAUAUGAGUUCAAUUAAAGCUCAGGCGGUUAAGGAUGGGUGUGCGUUCCAUUAGCUAGUUGGUGAGGUAACGGCUCACCAAGGCGACGAUCCAUAGCUGGUCUGAGAGGAUGAUC
rnacentral:rRNA from 1 species